rnacentral:lncRNA from 1 species
CCCCUUUACCCAGGAGUAUCAUCGGGUGCAUCCAAAAUGGUUUCUUAGCCUAUGAUGCAUUAGGCGCAAACUGUGUACCUAUCUUGCACCAAAACUAACUCUGUCUCUAAACAGACUGAAGCGAGAUUCCAUAUGACACAUGUCAUCUAGGAGUUCUAUUGGGGUGCGUCCAAAUGGAUUUCUUAGCAUAUGGUAUGUUCCAUGCAAACCGUGCACUUAUCUUGCAUCAAGAUUAGCACUAUCUCCAAACAGAUCGAACCGACCUUCCACUUGAGCCUCUUCACGU